rnacentral:rRNA from 1 species
AUUGAACGCUGGCGGCAUGCCUUACACAUGCAAGUCGAACGGUAACGGGCCUUCGGGUGCCGACGAGUGGCGAACGGGUGAGUAAUGCAUCGGAACGUACCUUUCAGUGGGGGAUAACGUAGCGAAAGUUACGCUAAUACCGCAUAUUCUGUGAGCAGGAAAGCAGGGGAUCGCAAGACCUUGCGCUGAUUGAGCGGCCGAUGUCAGAUUAGCUAGUUGGUGAGGUAAAGGCUCACCAAGGCGACGAUCUGUAGCGGGUCUGAGAGGAUGAUCCGCCACACUGGAACUGAGACACGGUCCAGACUCCUACGGGAGGCAGCAGUGGGGAAUUUUGGACAAUGGGGGCAACCCUGAUCCAGCCAUGCCGCGU